UUUGACUUUGUGGCCUUAUUGAGGGUGAGUCAUUACUCCGUGGCCUCUGGAAACUUCUUUUUACACAGGCUGGUCUUAAAGUAACCACCAGUGAGACACAGACACCAACCCAUCAGAGUGGCCCUGUGUAAGUGACCAGCGGGCCCUCCCACUGCGUCCCCCUUGAACGCUGGUCCUGCUCAAGAUAUGGAAGCUGAGGCUCAGCUAGAAAGAGACGGAGCCGGGGUCUGAGCCAGGAUCAUUUGAUGUUGGGUUCUGAGCACGACCUCCGAGGCACGCUGGCUGGCCCUCCGCACGACGCGUUUCUGCGGCAACCGUGGACCCAUGUCCUCAGACGGGGUACAACCCGACCGCCUGUCUCCCAGGAGAAGCAGAGUGCCAGAUUAUAAACCAACAGAACAGAGCAAUAAGGAGUGAAUGAUUGUGUUUCAAAAGGAUCCUCCGGUUUAUGAAGUAAUUCCCCCAGCAGGGAGUCCUCCCUGGGCACUGAGUUAGUUCAGAAUCUGAUGCGCAGUGGCUUCGUGGGAUUUGAUUCAUCACCUCCCCUAUCACUCAUUUAAAGCAGCGAGGAGGAUUUAUUGUUAUGGACCGCUCUCGAGAAGCCUAGAAUCCUUCACCAUCUCUCCCCAUGUCCUCAAGCCUUCCGUGCAGGGGUUCGAUUCCUACUUCCCAGAUGGGAGAGAAGAGAGGCCAGAGAGAUGAAAGGGUCAGACCACUGGCCUUGAAUGAGGGCGAAGCUGGGCGUGGAGCACACAGACCCUGCACUCGUGGCCUCUCCGUGGUGCGUCCCCCCACCUGAGCCCGGGGGAGGAAGACACCUCAUGUGAAGAAGUCCCUGGGGAGUCCCCACAGCCGGGGUAGGGCAGCUGCCUGGUCCUAUUCACCUCCCCUGACGGUGAUUUCUGCAGUGGCCCAGGGCAUUUGUUUCUUACCCAUUUUUGCACAGCCGUUCAUCUACUGGCCUGUCCCCAGAACCCUGAUAAGAGGCGUAGAGGAUGCACAGUGCCUUCCAUGAGGACCUGCGGGAGAAAGUGAGCCUUUAGGGGCCAGCUGUGAACCAGCGAGGGAUCUCAACCUGUCGGCACACACCUGGGGCAAUCACAGGGCUCCAGCCGGUGUGGGAAUGUCCAUGAGACUGAGAGCCCCUCCCCGUCAAUGCUUGUGUGGUCAGGGACCCCCUCCAGGGGCUGGUUUACACCCUCGCCGGCACCCCACCUUCCGGGCAGCCAUUGCUGUGGAUGGAUUAAAACAGCCUGAGAUACUCUGCAAAUUCACCCCCUAACAAGCGCGCACCUUGUUCACGGAGGCAUGGCUGCAUCUUUGUUGAACAAGAAAGUAGACCCGAGUAGGGACAGAUGUGUGAGCAGGGGCAUCUUCCCUUCUGUUAAUGAGUCUGCUCCAGCCCCAGACCAGGCCAUGGCGGGUGUCGUCAUUAUUCUUACGUAAGCUCUGUGACCAGCUGCAAACCGGGGGCUCCCCCUCACUGGUGGGCCUUGACUUCCAUUACAGCUGAGUGUAAUUGACGGCCGUCUGCAGAGCAUCCUGUGUUACGGGAUUCUUCACAAAGCCACGCCCCCCCAGGCUUUACGUAUUCUUAUCUUGCGUGUUUCUACAGACUCAGCUUCCUCCCACAUGGAACUGAGUUGACGUGAAACGGGAACACAUACAAUAAGAUGGUAAAAGAAAGCUUUGAACAAAAAUGCAGGUCCCGGGAAGUACGAAAAA